rnacentral:rRNA from 1 species
AGAGUUUGAUCCUGGCUCAGGAUGAACGCUAGCUACAGGCUUAACACAUGCAGGUCGAGGGGCAGCAUGUUGGUUGCUUGCAACCAACGAUGGCGACCGGCGCACGGGUGAGUAACGCGUAUCCAACCUACCCUUGUCCAUCGGAUAACCCGUCGAAAGGCGGCCUAACACGAUAUGCGGUUCACAGCAGGCAUCUAACGUGAACGAAAUGUGAAGGAGAAGGAUGGGGAUGCGUCUGAUUAGCUUGUUGGGCGGGUAACGGCCCACCGAAGGCUACGAUCAGUAGGGGUUCUGAGAGGAGGUCCCCACAUUGGAACUGAGACACGGUCCAAACUCCUACGGGAGGCA